rnacentral:rRNA from 1 species
GAACGGUAACAGGAAGCAGCUUGCUGCUUCGCUGACGAGUGGCGGACGGGUGAGUAAUGUCUGGGAAACUGCCUGAUGGAGGGGGAUAACUACUGGAAACGGUAGCUAAUACCGCAUAACGUCGCAAGACCAAAGAGGGGGACCUUCGGGCCUCUUGCCAUCGGAUGUGCCCAGAUGGGAUUAGCUAGUAGGUGGGGUAACGGCUCACCUAGGCGACGAUCCCUAGCUGGUCUGAGAGGAUGACCAGCCACACUGGAACUGAGACACGGUCCAGACUCCUACGGGAGGCAGCAGUGGGGAAUAUUGCACAAUGGGCGCAAGCCUGAUGCAGCCAUGCCGCGUGUAUGAAGAAGGCCUUCGGGUUGUAAAGUACUUUCAGCGGGGAGGAAGGCGAUAAGGUUAAUAACCUUGUCGAUUGACGUUACCCGCAGAAGAAGCACCGGCUAACUCCGUGCCAGCAGCCGCGGUAAUACGGAGGGUGCAAGCGUUAAUCGGAAUUACUGGGCGUAAAGCGCACCAGGCGGUCUGUCAAGUC